rnacentral:tRNA from 1 species
UGGAUCAUAGAAUAUUCAUAUUAAUCUUGACAAGAAAUUAUAACCGAGAAGGUCUACGGUUCGAGUCCAUCUAUACAUA